UGCACAGCAACGCCUAUCCCUAUCUCCACGUGGCACCGGCCGGGUUGCGAGCAACCUCAGGGAAGAUCGGGUAACCAACCCCGGUGCUUUAUUUGGUCGUAGGCUGACAAGAAAAGGGGUGGG
rnacentral:ribozyme from 1 species